rnacentral:rRNA from 1 species
GACGAACGCUGGCGGCGUGCUUAACACAUGCAAGUCGAACGGAAAGGCCCUGCUUUUGUGGGGUGCUCGAGUGGCGAACGGGUGAGUAACACGUGAGUAACCUGCCCUUGACUUUGGGAUAACUUCAGGAAACUGGGGCUAAUACCGGAUAGGAGCUCCUGCUGCAUGGUGGGGGUUGGAAAGUUUCGGCGGUUGGGGAUGGACUCGCGGCUUAUCAGCUUGUUGGUGGGGUAGUGGCUUACCAAGGCUUUGACGGGUAGCCGGCCUGAGAGGGUGACCGGCCACAUUGGGACUGAGAUACGGCCCAGACUCCUACGGGAGGCAGCAGUGGGGAAUAUUGCACAAUGGGCGGAAGCCUGAUGCAGCAACGCCGCGUGCGGGAUGACGGCCUUCGGGCUGUAAACCGCUUUCGCCUGUGACGAAGCGUGAGUGACGGUAAUGUGUAAAGAAGCACCGGCUAACUACGUG